GAGAGCCAAGAAGGGCCAAGAGAAAACCCUAACUUCACAAAUUUUCAAAAUCAGAAGGAAAUUAAGAGUUCUAAUGGAUGCAUGAACCCUAAAUCGAGUAAUCUAAGCUUGUUCAACCUUUGGUGUUAAGGAAGAGAGUUCAAGUCAAGCGAAGCAACAAGGGAAUCAAGACCGAGGUAAAUCUCAAGUUUAGCUUUCAAACUUCGCCCGGUUCGAACACACUUCAAGGCCCGCCUCAUGUUCCGCUAAUUAUGUAAAGAAGACGACGCUUAAUAUUUUGGUCAAUUGUCUAAAUCUAGUAGUUAAAAACUUAGUUCUUGUUAUGUAUUUUGAACUUAACGAAUUUCGUAUGCAUGUCGUAGUUGUUUGAUGGUAUAUAGUAUGUCCUUUUCAAAA